GACGGAGGAUGCAAGCGUUAUCCGGAAUGAUUGGGCGUGAAGCGUCCGCAGGUGGCAGUUCAAGUCUGCUGUCAAAGACCGGGGCUUAACUUCGGAAAGGCAGUGGAAACUGAACAGCUAGAGUAUGGUAGGGGCAGAGGGAAUUCCUGGUGUAGCGGUGGAAUGCGCAGAUAUCAGGAAGAACACCCGUGGCGAAGGCGGCUCUCUGGGACGGUACUGACGCUGAGACGCGAAAGCGUGGGGAGCGAACAGG
rnacentral:rRNA from 1 species